rnacentral:rRNA from 1 species
UACGUAGGGUGCGAGCGUUGUCCGGAAUUACUGGGCGUAAAGAGCUCGUAGGUGGUUUGUCGCGUUGUUCGUGAAAACUCACAACUCAAUUGUGGGCGUGCGGGCGAUACGGGCAGACUGGAGUACUGCAGGGGAGACUGGAAUUCCUGGUGUAGCGGUGGAAUGCGCAGAUAUCAGGAGGAACACCGGUGGCGAAGGCGGGUCUCUGGGCCGAUACUGACGCUGAGGUGCGAAAGCGUGGGGAGCGAACAGG